ensembl:lncRNA
CCCCUCAAUGAAACCAAUUUGGAAGACUCUUUCAAAGCGGUAUCUUUAAUUGGAAAGUGCUCCCUUGUGCAGGGAUGAAUAAUGUGUUUCCUCAGAUCACUGAUAACAUGUGCUCUACCCAAGGCUGCAGAAACAUCUGCAGUGUAACCGUGUGACAAGAGCAGAACAUUGUGGGGAAAACCUCAGAAGAUUCCGUUUUUAAAAUUAUAAUAAAUUUAAAGAAUGAAGAAAAGUCAGUAAAAUAUAAAGCUCAAUGGAUGGGUUCAAAAGAUGGCCCAAGCUGAGAAAAUCAGUUCUCAAAGAAGUUAGGAAGCCUGAAGGGCAGAAUGAGAGGCGCCGAUGAACAUCUGAUGGGAUCACUGGAUGAUAGGUCUGUCUGCAAUGCAGGAGACCCAGGUUUGAUCCCUGGGUUGGGAAGAUCCCCUGGAGAAGGGAAUGGCUACCCACUCCAAUGUUCUUGCCUGAAGAACUGCAUGGAGAAAGAAGCCUGAUGGGCUGUGGUCCAUGGGGUUGCAAAGAGUAGGACACAACUGAGUCACAAAAGCUUUCACUUUCAUAUAAGUCCUUGACCACCUUGGUCAGAUUUAUUCCCAAGUAUCUUUUCUUUUUCUUUUUGGUGAGAUUUUGAGAGGUUUUUUUUUUUCACACUCCCUUCCUAUUCAUUAAGAGUGUAAAGAAAUGCAACCAAUUUCUGUAAAUCUUGUACCUUGCUAAAUUCAUUUAUCAGUUCUAGUAUUUUUUUGUGUGGAAGCUUUAGGGUUUUGUCUAUAUAGAAUCAUGUCAACUUCACAGGUUUUUAAAAUAAUUCUGUUGAAUAUUACUGUUUCAUAAAGAUGCUAUGAGUAACUGAUCACUUCUAAUAAAUGAAUGUAGGAGAAUGAAAUUGGUAAUUUACAGUGACUCAUGUGCUAUGGAUUGAAUGCUUGUGCUGCCUCCAAAUUCGUAUGUUGAAAUAUGAAUCCCCUGUGUGAUGGUUCUUUGAGGUCAUGCCUUUGGGUGGUGACUGGGAUUAGUGCCUUCAUAGAAGAGAACCAAAAAGCACCCCCUGCCCUUUCUGCCAUCUGAGGUUACCGAGAAAAGAUGGCCAUCUGGGAAGUGGCACCUCACCAAGCACCGAGUCCACUGGACUUCCCAGACCACAGAACAGUGAGAUAAGUGCUCGCUGUUUCUAAGCCACCUCCUCUCUGGUCCUUCUGUUAUGGUGACCCAAACAGACUGAGUCAGUCUCCCGGUCCUGAUUCAUCUGCUAACUCCCGCUGUAGUCAUUCUGUUUUGUUUUUUCCUUAAGUAAUCUGGGGCUGCUGCUGCUGCUAAGUCAUUUCAAGUUGAACACAACUGAAGCAACUUAGCAGCAACCGUUGUGAAAUGGUUUACAUUUAUUAUCUAAUUUAACCUUAUAACAAUCUAAAGAGGUAGGUAGUGUUAUCUUUAUUUCACAAAUUAAGGAACUGAGGAGGCAAGAGGUUAAGACAUUCACCCAAGUUCAUACAGCUACUCAUCCAUAAUGGAAAGCAGCUCACAUUCCUUGGUCAAGAUUAAUUCUUGGUUACAAUGACUCAUCUCAUUCUUGAUUAUCGAGCAUUUUUUAAGAGUAUCAUCUGUUUUACAGUCUCAUCUCACUCUUCCAUUACAACCCAUCCUCUUCUAUCCCCUCCGCCCCUCCCAGAUAGGAAUGUCCAAAGUCUAGGGAACAAUAUAUAGAUAAUUCAGUGGAUUUAUUAUUUGCUUUUUGAUGGAAGUACUGGGUCAUUUCUUCAUUUUUCAUUUCAUUGUGCAUAAGAUCUGACUUGUGUUUCAUAUGUCAGGAAUGAAGGAAAGCCCUUCAUACAUGGUGUUCUAGCUAUCCAAACAUUUUCAUAAUGAUCCUUCGGUCGAGGUUUAGACAACAAAUUCAUUGCUGUGAUGAAUAGGAAACAACAGCACUGUCUUGUGUCCUGGCAAGAAGAGACAAAGCUUGCUUUUGAGCUUUUCUUUGGCACUGUUACUAGACCAGAAGCCUCCUGUAUUUGCAGCUUCUGGGACAUGGCUCCCGAUUCACAGACUGCAAUCUCUGAUCUGAC